rnacentral:rRNA from 1 species
UACGGGGGGGGGCAAGCGUUGUUCGGAAUUACUGGGCGUAAAGGGCUUGUAGGUGGCCAACUAAGUCAGACGUGAAAUCCCUCGGCUUAACCGGGGAACUGCGUCUGAUACUGGAUGGCUAGAGUGUGGGAGAGGGAUGCGGAAUUCCAGGUGUAGCGGUGAAAUGCGUAGAUAUCUGGAGGAACACCGGUGGCGAAGGCGGAUCGUCUGGGCCUUACCUGACGCUGAGGCGCGAAAGCUGGGGGAGCAAACAGG